GUUAUACUCCCUCCGUCCGAAAAUACUUGUCAUAAAAAUGGACAAAAAGGGAUGUAUUUAGAACUAAAAUACAUCUAGAUACAUCCCCUUUUAUUCAUUUUGAUGACAAAUAUUUCCGGACGGAGGGAGUACUUG
rnacentral:pre_miRNA from 1 species